rnacentral:rRNA from 1 species
GGUAUAGUUCUUCGGAACUAGAGACCGGCGCACGGGUGCGUAACGCGUAUGCAAUCUACCUUUUACAGAGGGAUAGCCCAGAGAAAUUUGGAUUAAUACCUCAUAGCAUAGCAGUCUCGCAUGAGAUCACUAUUAAAGUCACAACGGUAAAAGAUGAGCAUGCGUCCCAUUAGCUAGUUGGUAAGGUAACGGCUUACCAAGGCUACGAUGGGUAGGGGUCCUGAGAGGGAGAUCCCCCACACUGGUACUGAGACACGGACCAGACUCCUACGGGAGGCAGCAGUGAGGAAUAUUGGACAAUGGGCGCAAGCCUGAUCCAGCCAUGCCGCGUGCAGGAUGACGGUCCUAUGGAUUGUAAACUGCUUUUAUACGAGAAGAAACACUCCAACGUGUUGGAGCUUGACGGUAUCGUAAGAAUAAGGAUCGGCUAACUCCGUGCCAGCAGCCGCGGUAAUACGGAGGAUCCAAGCGUUAUCCGGAAUCAUUGGGUUUAAAGGGUCCGUAGGCGGUUUAGUAAAGUCAGUGGUGAAAGCCCAUCGCUCAACGGUGGAACGGCCAUUGAUACUGCUAAACUUGAAUUAUUAGGAAGUAACUAGAAUAUGUAGUGUAGCGGUGAAAUGCUUAGAGAUUACAUGGAAUACCAAUUGCGAAGGCAGGUUACUACUAAUGGAUUGACGCUGAUGGACGAAAGCGUGGGUAGCGAACAGGAUUAGAUACCCUGGUAGUCCACGCCGUAAACGAUGGAUACUAGCUGUUGGAAGCAAUUUCAGUGGCUAAGCGAAAGUGAUAAGUAUCCCACCUGGGGAGUACGUUCGCAAGAAUGAAACUCAAAGGAAUUGACGGGGGCCCGCACAAGCGGUGGAGCAUGUGGUUUAAUUCGAUGAUACGCGAGGAACCUUACCAAGGCUUAAAUGUAGAUUGACCGGUUUGGAAACAGAUCUUUCGCAAGACAAUUUACAAGGUGCUGCAUGGUUGUCGUCAGCUCGUGCCGUGAGGUGUCAGGUUAAGUCCUAUAACGAGCGCAACCCCUGUUGUUAGUUGCCAGCGAGUCAUGUCGGGAACUCUAACAAGACUGCCAGUGCAAACUGUGAGGAAGGUGGGGAUGACGUCAAAUCAUCACGGCCCUUACGCCUUGGGC